rnacentral:rRNA from 1 species
UACGUAGGGUGCGAGCGUUGUCCGGAAUUAUUGGGCGUAAAGAGCUCGUAGGCGGUCUGUCGCGUCGAUCGUGAAAACUUGGGGCUUAACCCUGAGCUUGCGGUCGAUACGGGCAUGACUGGAGUUCGGCAGGGGAGACUGGAAUUCCUGGUGUAGCGGUGAAAUGCGUAGAUAUCGGGAGGAACACCAGUGGCGAAAGCGGCUACCUGGCCCAUUCGUUGACGCUGAGGCGCGAAAGCUAGGGGAGCAAACGGG